CCGAACCGACUAAUGUUGAAAAAUUAGCGGAUGACCUGUGGCUGGGGGUGAAAGGCCAAUCAAACCGGGAGAUAGCUGGUUCUCCCCGAAAGCUAUUUAGGUAGCGCCUCGUGAAUUCAUCUCCGGGGGUAGAGCACUGUUUCGGCUAGGGGGCCAUCCCGGCUUACCAACCCGAUGCAAACUGCGAAUACCGGAGAAUGUUAUCACGGGAGACACACGGCGGGUGCUAACGUCCGUCGUGAAGAGGGAAACAACCCAGACCGCCAGCUAAGGUCCCAAAGUCAUGGUUAAGUGGGAAACGAUGUGGGAAGGCCCAGACAGCCAGGAUGUUGGCUUAGAAGCAGCCAUCAUUUAAAGAAAGCGUAAUAGCUCACUGGUCGAGUCGGCCUGCGCGGAAGAUGUAACGGGGCUAAACCAUGCACCGAAGCUGCGGCAGCGACACUGUGUGUUGUUGGGUAGGGGAGCGUUCUGUAAGCCUGUGAAGGUGUGUCGUGAGGCAUGCUGGAGGUAUCAGAAGUGCGAAUGCUGACAUAAGUAACGAUAAAGCGGGUGAAAAGCCCGCUCGCCGGAAGACCAAGGGUUCCUGUCCAACGUUAAUCGGGGCAGGGUGAGUCGACCCCUAAGGCGAGGCCGAAAGGCGUAGUCGAUGGGAAACGGGUUAAUAUUCCCGUACUUGGUGUUACUGCGAAGGGGGGACGGAGAAGGCUAUGUUGGCCGGGCGACGGUUGUCCCGGUUUAAGUGUGUAGGUGUGUGUUCCAGGUAAAUCCGGUUCACUUUAACACUGAGGCGUGACGACGAGGCACUACGGUGCUGAAGCAACAAAUGCCCUGCUUCCAGGAAAAGCCUCUAAGCAUCAGGUAACAUCAAAUCGUACCCCAAACCGACACAGGUGGUCAGGUAGAGAAUACCAAGGCGCUUGAGAGAACUCGGGUGAAGGAACUAGGCAAAAUGGUGCCGUAACUUCGGGAGAAGGCACGCUGACACGUAGGUGAAGUGAUUUACUCAUGGAGCUGAAGUCAGUCGAAGAUACCAGCUGGCUGCAACUGUUUAUUAAAAACACAGCACUGUGCAAACACGAAAGUGGACGUAUACGGUGUGACGCCUGCCCGGUGCCGGAAGGUUAAUUGAUGGGGUCAGCGCAAGCGAAGCUCCUGAUCGAAGCCCCGGUAAACGGCGGCCGUAACUAUAACGGUCCUAAGGUAGCGAAAUUCCUUGUCGGGUAAGUUCCGACCUGCACGAAUGGCGUAAUGAUGGCCAGGCUGUCUCCACCCGAGACUCAGUGAAAUUGAACUCGCUGUGAAGAUGCAGUGUACCCGCGGCAAGACGGAAAGACCCCGUGAACCUUUACUAUAGCUUGACACUGAACAUUGAGCCUUGAUGUGUAGGAUAGGUGGGAGGCUUUGAAGUGUGGACGCCAGUCUGCAUGGAGCCGACCUUGAAAUACCACCCUUUAAUGUUUGAUGUUCUAACGUGGACCCGUUACCCGGGUUGCGGACAGUGUCUGGUGGGUAGUUUGACUGGGGCGGUCUCCUCCUAAAGAGUAACGGAGGAGCACGAAGGUUGGCUAAUCCUGGUCGGACAUCAGGAGGUUAGUGCAAUGGCAUAAGCCAGCUUGACUGCGAGCGUGACGGCGCGAGCAGGUGCGAAAGCAGGUCAUAGUGAUCCGGUGGUUCUGAAUGGAAGGGCCAUCGCUCAACGGAUAAAAGGUACUCCGGGGAUAACAGGCUGAUACCGCCCAAGAGUUCAUAUCGACGGCGGUGUUUGGCACCUCGAUGUCGGCUCAUCACAUCCUGGGGCUGAAGUAGGUCCCAAGGGUAUGGCUGUUCGCCAUUUAAAGUGGUACGCGAGCUGGGUUUAGAACGUCGUGAGACAGUUCGGUCCCUAUCUGCCGUGGGCGCUGGAGAACUGAGGGGGGCUGCUCCUAGUACGAGAGGACCGGAGUGGACGCAUCACUGGUGUUCGGGUUGUCAUGCCAAUGGCACUGCCCGGUAGCUAAAUGCGGAAGAGAUAAGUGCUGAAAGCAUCUAAGCACGAAACUUGCCCCGAG
rnacentral:rRNA from 2 species